AUGAAUAAUCUGAAGAAGGCUAUGCCGAAUCCGAGGGAAGAAGAAGAAGCAGAACUCGCCAAGAUCUCUCAUGCUCGUAAGGCGGCCUGGCGUAAACCUGUUGAAGGCAAACGCCACACUGCUUUAAAUAAAGCCAUCAGUGACCUUUCAGAAAGAUUCCGGGUUCAUUCCACUGAAACUAGCUGGCAAUAUCUUAUAAGUUUUAUUCCCUCUCAGCUUCAAAAGGGCUUCCCCGAGGAGAGUACGGGGCAUCUCUAUGGUUCCAAUAUGUUCACUGAGCUAUAUCGGGGACUUAGCGUUCGACUGUUGCCAACU